rnacentral:rRNA from 1 species
UGCUUUUGAUGGGCGUCGACCGGCGCACGGGUGAGUAACGCGUAUCCAACCUGCCCACCACUUGGGGAUAACCUUGCGAAAGUAAGACUAAUACCCAAUGACGUCUCUAGAAGACAUCUGAAGGAGAUUAAAGAUUUAUCGGUGAUGGAUGGGGAUGCGUCUGAUUAGCUUGUUGGCGGGGUAACGGCCCACCAAGGCGACGAUCAGUAGGGGUUCUGAGAGGAAGGUCCCCCACAUUGGAACUGAGACACGGUCCAAACUCCUACGGGAGGCAGCAGUGAGGAAUAUUGGUCAAUGGGCGAGAGCCUGAACCAGCCAAGUAGCGUGCAGGAUGACGGCCCUAUGGGUUGUAAACUGCUUUUAUAAGGGAAUAAAGUGAGUCUCGUGAGACUUUUUGCAUGUACCUUAUGAAUAAGGACCGGCUAAUUCCGUGCCAGCAGCCGCGGUAAUACGGAAGGUCCGGGCGUUAUCCGGAUUUAUUGGGUUUAAAGGGAGCGUAGGCCGGAGAUUAAGCGUGUUGUGAAAUGUAGACGCUCAACGUCUGCACUGCAGCGCGAACUGGUUUCCUUGAGUACGCACAAAGUGGGCGGAAUUCGUGGUGUAGCGGUGAAAUGCUUAGAUAUCACGAAGAACUCCGAUUGCGAAGGCAGCUCACUGGAGCGCAACUGACGCUGAAGCUCGAAAGUGCGGGUAUCGAACAGGAUUAGAUACCCUGGUAGUCCGCACGGUAAACGAUGGAUGCCCGCUGUUGGUCUGAAUAGGUCAGCGGCCAAG